CCUACGGGAGGCAGCAGUGAGGAAUAUUGGUCAAUGGGCGCGAGCCUGAACCAGCCAAGUAGCGUGAAGGAUGACGGCCCUACGGGUUGUAAACUUCUUUUAUAAAGGAAUAAAGUGAGGCACGUGUGCCUUUUUGUAUGUACUUUAUGAAUAAGGAUCGGCUAACUCCGUGCCAGCAGCCGCGGUAAUACGGAGGAUCCGAGCGUUAUCCGGAUUUAUUGGGUUGACAGGGAGCGUAGAUGGGUUGUUAAGUCAGUUGUGAAAGUUUGCGGCUCCACCGUAAAAUUGCUAUUGAUACUGGCAGCCUUGUGUACAGUUGCGGUAGGCGUCAUUCGUGGUGUAGCGGUUAACUGCUUCGAUAUCACG
rnacentral:rRNA from 1 species